rnacentral:rRNA from 1 species
UUUUCAUAGGUCUAUGUCUUCAUAUACCCCUUUGUAUGUCUUGGAAUGUCUUUUUUGUAGGUUCUUUGAAACCUAUAAAAUGUCAGUACAACUUUCAACAACGGAUCUCUUGGCUCUCGCAUCGAUGAAGAACGCAGCGAAAUGCGAUAAGUAAUGUGAAUUGCAGAAUUCAGUGAAUCAUCGAAUCUUUGAACGCACCUUGCACCCUUUGGUAUUCCGAAGGGUAUGCCCUGUUUGAGUGUCAUUAAAUUCUCAACCAUUGAACUUGUUUCUAUGGCUUGGAUGUGGAGGUUGCGGGCUUUUUUAAAGUCAGCUCCUCUUAAAUGCAUUAGUGGAAACCGCUUGCAGGAUUCAUUCACUUUUUUGGCGUGAUAGUAUCGUCGUCGAAAGGUAAAUGUCUCCGAGGUGUCUGCUCUCUAACUGUCCGAAAGGACUCUCAAUGACUUGUUGACCUCAAAUCAGGA